AUCACUUCCAAAACCCAAACCAGAGUCAUGGCGCCAAGGAAGGCCUCAUCGUCUCCUUCUCCAAUCCUAAUCGGUAAUUGCGAGGUCAUUGUAGAAGCGAACAACUUCACUUGCCAAUCAGAUCCCAAUAGCCUCCAAAUUUCUCUCACCAAAAGCGCAAAAAUCAAAAUUUCAGUGAGAGAAGACUUUAAUAGAAGAUGUAAUGAUGAUAUUUGGAAAUCUAAAGCUGAAGGAGAAGG